CAAAUAUUACUGAGCAUGCGUAGUAGUUGCUCCAGCAACUGAAGCCUCCCGUCCGUUUCUUGCCCUUACUUGGCCUCAAACUUUCGUUCUUGUUCAGCAUGCAGAGCAGACUUUUAAGGGAAGGACUGACUGACGAUGCAGAGUGGAGUGCUACGACUAACUACAUCAUAUGGCAUCAUCUUAGACCACAAUCAGAGAUUCUCCCCAUGGACACCUGGGCCUGGGCAAAUGAAGAGGAGCCUCCCUUCGACGGACUGCCCCCCUUGCCUAAAGCGUUCAGGGACCCCAGCUUGAUUCGGUCUUCUCUGCCCGAGAAGGGAGAGCAGGAAGAGGUCAAACGGCCCGAGGGGAGUCCUGAUGGCAUAUCCUGGCUGCACCAUGAAAUGGACUUCCCCCCAAAAGAGGAGACGGAGCCAGGGGUUUUUCAAACUGCAGAUCAGGCAGCUGAACUUGAAGACAAAUCUGGUGAACAUCUGAAAAAUAACCUCAGGCAACACAUGCAGUGACAGCAGUGAGUACGGAUCAGUUGAGAGACAAGCCCCAUUGAGAUGUUUUGUUCAACACUCGUACAAGGGAACAGUGUGCACAGGAAGCAAAACUAAGCAGAAGACCAGUCGUGGAUGAUUACAGGAAACCCCUGGUGUUGGAAAGAAGGCCGCCCAGGUAGGGAUUAAGGUGAAGGGAAACGCGGCAACAUAAACAGUACGCCGACAAUUGUUAGUCUCACCAGAAGGUGGCACCCCAGCCAUGCCCAAAGCUUGUCCUCUGUCUUUUCUCUCUCUCAUCCUCUGUCAAGAUUAUAGGGGUGGUGCCCAUAUUCCUAUGUGCUCUCCCCCUGUUAACUGAUCAAAGAGAGCUCUGCCAUGGACAUACCUGCCUCUGCACUCAGGCAGCCACCUGUUCAGGCCUGGUCUGCAACCUGCAGGACUCAGCAUCAAUCUCUCAAGGGGAAGACAGAAAGCAAUUCUGGGGAUUUGAAUGGCUUGAUAUUGGAGGAAAUGUCUCCAGGAAUCGUUUCAGUCCGAGCUGGCAAACCUCUAGAGUUGCCAUGCCCCCAGAAAUUCCAGGUUUCACCCCAAUUUUAAGCAUCUCACCCAGAUUGCUUAGCCCUCCCAGAUUUGCCCGGAUUUCAGCUUGCUUUCUUUUCUUUUUUUUUAAGCUCUAGCCCUUGUAGAAGCGGAGUUAUGGAGCAAAACGUGCCGUCACUCUUCUGCUCAAAAACCAUGUUCAAGCCAAUUUACAUAAUAUGCAAAUGAGGCCCCAGAGGUGGGGUGGGGUACAAGGCGCCUCCAAGCAUAACUGCCCUCUACUGUUACAGCAUGAAAGAGGGAGCUCUGAAGAAACUCCUCUCCACCCUCAGCUGCUGCUCCCAACGCAUAGGAGCUCGCUAAGCAACUUCUGUGCAAAAAACGCGAUCGGGGAAAAUGUGCAAAACAGCCGCCAAGCUAAGCUGUCGAUCACACUUUCCAAUCCCGGUUUUUAAAAAGUAGGUUUUAAAAAUCUGCUUCCUCCGCCUACCGCCCCCACCCGUGUCCAGGAAUUCUGUCUCACUACUGCGGCAACUCUAGCUGUGACAUAGGUGUGUGCAUCCUCCAACCCCCCCCCAGGGGGGGGAUGCUCCUUUCUCCUUCAAAUGGUUUAAUUCAAAUGCAAAUAUAAUUGGUUAGAUCCAAGCGCAAAUAUAAUUGUUUGGUUGAUGAAGACUGGUACGGCAUUAAUUUAUUAACAAACUAGUUUAUUUCUAAAUUAAUAAUAACCCCUGCUAACUGGGCAAAGAGGCACCUUUUUACAUGGUUAUUCUCUUUUAUUUAGCAGGGGGAGAGUAACUGGCCAUAUCCACCCCCAGCACAGCACCCCUCCAGUGACAGUUGCUGGUGUCUAUCUUGUGUUCCUUUUUAGAUUGUGAGCCCUUUGGGGACCAGGAUCCAUCUUAUUUAUUUAUUUGUUAUUUCUCUGUGUAAACCACCCUGAGCCAUUUUUGGAAGGGCGGUAUAGAAAUUGAAUUUAAUAAUAAUAAUAAUAAUAAUAAUAAUAAUAAUUAUUAUUAUUAUAAUUAACUGGGUGACAGGUGCAGCCUGGAAGUCGGGGUGCUCUGUCCUCCUGCUGUUAGGCCCGCCUCAGGCCUUCGCUCCCCUUACUCUGCUUAUCCAGUUCAUUAGAAAAAUUUAAACCAAGCUUAACCUUGUUUCCCCUCAUCCGCUCCCCUGCUUGCCCCCCCACCUCCAUCCUCCUCCUCCUCCUCCGACCUCUUCUCCUGCGCCAAGAGGGACAGACGCUCCCUCGCUGGCUGCUGCUGCUGCUGGCGCCUUCCUCCUGGCUUCACCUUCGCAAGGUCUCUUCUGCGGGCGUCUUCUCCGCCCAUCUGUCUCUGGGGGAUCAGGGCAGAUUAACAUCCAAUCUGCCUGUCUACUUUUCUGCUUUAAAACCUGCUGACAGGUUUGCAGAUUACAUUUUCUGGACACCCCCUCCCCACCCCGUCUUCCUUCCACUCCAUCCUGCCAGCAACAAGUUGGAGCCACCUUCCUUCUUUUCCGCCACAUCCUCCCCACGCAAGGGGACCAAAUAAAACACACACAUACUCUCUCUCACUCUGUAGGCAAUGUGUUUCUGAGCAUGUACAGGUGGCCUUUCUUUUUGUGAAGAAAUCAGGCUUGCGUUUUGUUUUGUUUUGUUUUAAGUGGACAAGGUGCCACUUGACUUGACCAGCCACCUUAAGUGGCGCAGCAGGGAAAUGCUUGACUAACAAGCAGAAGGUUGCCGGUUCGAAUCCCUGCUGGUAUGUUUCCCAGACUGUGUCCUGUAUUCCUGUGUCCUGUAUGCCAAAGAAAACCACAGGAGUCGAAAUCAACUUGAUGGCACACUUUACCUUUAGGAGCCAGUGUGGUGUAGUGGUUAGAGUGCUGGACUAGGGAAGACCCGAGUUCAAAUCCCCAUUCAGCCAUGAUACUAGCUGGGUGACUCUUGGUCAGUCACGUAUCUCUCAGCGUAACCUACUUCACAGGGUGUUGAAACUUAAGUAUGUAGUACACCGCUCUGGGCUCCUUGGAGGAAGAGCGGGAUAUGUUAACCGCCCAAAGAUGAAAGUUUGGGCCGUAUAUAAAUAUGUUGAAUAUGUUGAAUGAAUAAAUAAAUAAAUAAUAUAAAAUGUGAAUAAUAAUAUAAUAUUGUGGAUGUUUUACAUAUUCCCCCCUCCCCGGAUCCUUCCAGAUAACUGGCGAGGAUGAUAAUAUUCUAGAGAGUUGCCAGUCCACAUUUCCACAGUAGGAAAAAUGUUCCUCAGACUGCUCUUAAAGGCGGUGGAACAGGGCCAGUUUCAAAGAAACCCUAGCCUAGAUUUGUUGGACUACAACUCCCAUCAUCCCCCAAGACCACUGUGGCUGCGAUGAUGGAGGUUGUAGUACACCAUCCAGAUACCCAAGUUAUCUGUCCUGGCCCAUGCAUACUGUAAUGCUUGUGACUCAGACUAAGAACCAGUAUGUUCCAUGAGCAAAUGUACUGGGGGAAGCUGUUCUGGGGGAUUUCAGAGCAGCCGCCAUUUUGCAUCUUGUAAAAUUUGCACAUAGAGUUGCCAAGCCUGGCUGAAGUUAUUCCUGGAGCUUUCCAAACCUUCCCCCAAUAUCGUUCACCAUCUCAAGCCACUAAAAUGUCCAAGACUGCUUUGAAUAGUCUCCCAGCGUCUGAUGCUGAGAGUUGUCAAUCCUGGGAUCUCCAGGAAGUGGUGUCAGUGGUGUCUGGAGAUGGCAUGGCAUGGUAUGGUAUGGUGGAAAACAUUGGAAAAAUAGAUAUUUUAGAAAAUAAUCUCCAGAAAUAGCUUCUGUCUGCAUUGUCAACCCUCAGUUGCCAGUUCCUGGAGAUUCCAGGCCAUUCUGGGGUGGAGAGGGGGCACAACUCUGUCUACACAGUGUUCAAGUAAUGUUCCUGUGGUCACAAUCCCCAACUGUUCAUGCAGCCAGCAGAGAUAUUCAGUGAGCCCCCACAGCUCUCUGUGGUCAAAUAAUCAGAAUAGCUUGAGAAUGCCUUUGUGUGUGGGCAAAAUGCACCCUUGUGUAAUUAGUAUUAAUUGAAGGGGUUUGGUAAGGUGGGGCAGGAUCAAUUCCUUUAGCUAUUACAUCUGCCCUGGAUCAACAUUUCAAAAUCCUUUAGGGCCAUAAUGCCAAGAGUGCACUUUCUGGAAACGUGAAAUGUGGUGGGGGUUGGGAGGAGGACAAGAACGAAUCAGUUUCCAGAAGGGCUUAUGGGCUCGUGACGGGGAAGAGAUGCCACUCCACCAGUGAUUUCAAAAUGGCAGCCGUUUCCACCCACAUUAAGCCCAGCAGUGAGGUCUUUCCACUGGGUUAUUAGACAGAAUAAAAGAUAAUAUACCUUUGCUUUUGGUUAGUAAGUGGAGUUGUUCUUACCUUCUGGACUGUUUGUCCUGCUGUUUUUGUGGGGGCUCCCACAUUGGUGCCACUUUUAGGGUUGCUAGCUUUUGUGUCUGGCUCUGCUCUCCUCCGCAUUUAACUAACAGCAGGCUGGCACACAGACCGACAUGUAGCCAGGUAGGCGUUUCCCAUCACUAUAUGUUAGGAAGUAUAGGGCUAAGGAGGGGGUUCCGGAGGACCCUGGGGAGCUGUGCAGAAGAGAAUGUGGGUAGCUGUCGUUUGAUAUACAGAGGACAAAAGUCUCUCUUCUCACCUGUUUCCUGCUCUGAGCAAACGGAUUACAAUGUAUGAGAUUUUGCAUUUUUCUCCCUUUGCAAUGCUUCACUGUGAUAUCUCCAUGCAAGACAGGGGUAUAGCCACAGUACACCAUGCAGUUGCAAAUUCAGAAGUGCAGAAGGUGGCGCUCUCCAUGAUAGUCUCCAUGGCCAUGCCCGCCCCAACAGAGGAGAGCUGGUCUGGUGGUAGCAAGCAUUAUUUGUAUGAAGUGAUUGUAAUGUAUGAAGUGGUUUUGAGACAUGACAGAGUAAGCAUCAGAUAUUCACAGACAGAAUGGUAAUAUACUCUUGUAUUUUAAAAGUUCUGGCUGCCCCCUUUCCUUAUGUGUCAAUUAACAUCCGAAGUGGCAAAUCACAGGAGAGCAUGUAAAGGUAAUGUGUGCCGUCAAGUCAAUUUCGACUCCUGGCGACUACAGAGCCCUGUAGUUGUCUUUGCUAGAAUACAGGAGGGGUUUCCCAUUGCCUCCUCCCGUGCAGUCGGAGAGGAUGCCUUUCAGCAUCUUCCUAGAUUGCUGCUGCCCGAUAAGAAUACCAGUGGGGAUUCAAAUCGGCAACCUUCUGCUUGCUAAGCAAGCAUUUCCCCGCUGCGCCACUUAAGGAAAGUCCCCAUCUUGGGAUUUCUAGCUUCUGCACCCUUCUCAUAGGUACCACUUCAGAUGUCAACUUUGCUCAUUUGAGCAUUUUGUCACCACUCCAUUGCAGUUCCAUCCUCACUGGCCUUAGACUGAGCUUCUUGGGGCAGAAACCUAUCGUUUGGGGUGUGAUGUUGCUUUGUAACACUGACGGACCUAUACAGAGAAUGAGCAACAGUUAUAAUAACUGAUACGCAGCGCCUUUCACACGGUUCACGCAUUAGCCACGAGUGAUGAGGGGUCUGGGAAGACCAUGCAGGUGUGAACCAACCCUCAAUUAGAACGGUGCCCUGAGCUAAAGGUGUGUGUUUCCCCCCCAAAAUCCAUGUUAACUAUGCCUGUGAACAUGACCUUUCCAGAUGCCUCAGUCCAACGUUGCUCAAGGAGCAUCUGGGGACUGAAGUGGAGGAGAGCUGGUCUUGUGGUAGCAAGCAUGAUUGGUCCCCUUAGCUAAGCAGGGUCCACCCUGGUUGCAUAUGAAUGGGAGACUUGAUGUGUGAGCACUGUCAGAUAUUCCCCUCAAGGGAUGGAGCCGCUCUGGGAAGAGCAGAAGGUUCCAAGUUUCCUCCCUGGCAGCAUCUCCAAGAGAGGGCUGAGAGAGAGAUUCCUACCUGCAACCUCAGAGAAGCCGCUGCCAGUCUGUGAAGACAAUACCGAGCAAGAUAGACCAACAGGGUCUGACUCAGUAUGUGGCAGCUUCCUGUGUUCUUAUGUUCCUAAGUGGCACCCAGCCUGCCCACCUCCUCUCUGCACAUGGGCCCAGUUCUCUUUAAUUAAAGGAGGUUACCCAGGGGGAUUCAGCUGGCAGCACCACUAUGGGCAGCUGUCACUGGGCAUUGAAGAACCAAUUUGUCAUCCUUAGCAGGUUCCCUAAUCCUUUCUAAUUCAGUUACCAAUCUGCGCAGUGGGCAGCGCGGCCUUAAGAGGAUUGGGGUAUUUGCUAAAUUAGAUAAGUAAAAAUAACAAAUGGCGGGCAGUGGUGUGGGUGUGUGUAUAUUGGGGUCGGCUGCUGAGGCCAGGGGACAGCCAGCCUGUCUUGGAAGCCAGGACACUGCAUCAAAGGCAGGGCAACGCACACACUUUGGGCCUCAAAUCGUUGCCAGAUAAUAUUUGACAGACAAUAUUUUCUAAGAGGACUGAAAGCAGUGCAAGAGAAAUUUCACUUCCCAGGAUGCACCUACAUAGGCUAGAGGGAGAGAUGCUUUCACAGAAAGCUGGAGGUGAUUUGAAAUGGUUGCUCAGGGGAUCAGCACUCACCCUGCUUUUGCCUUUGGUCAAACAGGUUUAGCAGGCUUCUGUCAGGCUUAAAAAACCUUUUCGACCAGAAGUGGCAAUGACACAAUAGGAGCAUGACACCAAUAGAACCAUAUACUCUAGGGGAAGCACUUUGCAGCCUACGGAUGAAGAGGGCUGCAAUGAGUGAAAAUGAGCAGGUAGUAGACAAGAUUUACCCUGACACAGGUACAUAGGAAGCUGCUGUAUACUGAGUCAGAACCCUAUCUUGCCGGUUGUUGGAGUAAAAUAUGGGUGCCAACCACUGAUGCUGCCGUGACGAUAGAAUAAAUAAAUAGUCAGGGGGUCAAGAAACAUUGGCUCAGUUCACCAGCCAGACAAAAGUUUUUACUCAUCAGAUGGUUCCUUGAGCUAUGCUGGCAUAUUACUUGUCAGGAUUUCCCUCCCCCACCCAACCCCACUUGUCAGGUAUCAUUUUUCACUCAUUACAGACUAGCAGACUAGUGGAUUUCCUGAGCCUUGAUCAUCAUCAUAAACACCAUCAUAAUAAGGAUGAUCAGCGGGACAGAAAAUAACCAGAAGCAUGCUAAUGGAAUUGCAACAGCUGAUGGUGAGGGUGUCAGAGCACAAUUAUUGUGCAUGCCUCCUCUGCCUCCCCCCCCCAAGUUGCCAAUGUUUUAUACCAUCCCUGCUCUUGUGCCUUCAACAGCGGCAUGAUUUGCAGACAUUAGCAGAAGAUUAUGCUUAAGUCCAUUCUGUGAAAAGCUUUGCCUUUCUGCCAAUCAAGCGGCUGUUAAAGGCACAGAAGCAAACCAGAAAUUGUUUGUUCUGGUCAGCUGGCAACCCAGCUCUCUUCCCUCUCCUCCCUUGCUUCUCCCACCAUUCUGAACCCGAGCACAGAAGCCAGUUCGGGGUCUGGAUUCCUCCAAACUCUGAAGCUGAUCUUCAGUCCCAGCCCACAGAUCAGAGGAAUUCCAGGGCCACUAUUAACACAAGGAAUAUUACUCAUUACUCUAAUUUUUGCAAAAUCAGUUGUUUUAAUCAGCAGCUGGAAACAACAACAACAAAAAAAGCACACAGAGCCGUUGUUUCUUUUCAGCUAUGUUUUUGUUUGGUUUUUUUACAUUUUUACAUUUUUUUUAAACCACCAACAAUUUUUGUAACUGUACGGACUAAGACAAUAAUAAAUAGAGAGAACCAUCAAAAAUAACUUGCGUGGAAUUUUCUCAUCUACAGCAAAAGAAUGUAUUUUUCUUUUUAAAAAACUAUUUGCAACUAAGAAAUCUAAACUAAGAAAUCUCUAAUAGCAUUUACAAAAUAGACCUUCUUCUUUAAAAUUUAAAAGCCAGCUCUUUAAUGCACAGGGGGAGAAAACCAUAUUCUUUAAAAAAUUUCCUCAAACUCUUUGUUUUAAUGCUUCCAUCUUGAGAAAACGGUUAUUCAAAUGAAACCACGAGUACAAGUUAGAUUACAAGUUAGAUUUCAUCUCCCAAUCUCAUGCCUCUCCCCUAAAUAAAAUGUAGCCUAUUUCAUUUUGUACACAAUAUAAGGUUUAGCUUCGGUGCCAUUCAAAACAAAUGCACAAGGAUCAACAUUCACUGAGGUAACCAGCCAAAAAAAAAAAAAAAGGUAUUUGCAUGAAUCCAAAAAGGGGAAGAAAUUGAAUAAUCUUCCAGCCUGGAUUGUAUUACAUGGUCAAACCUUGUAUGUAAGUCAGCAAUACACAAACAUGGCCAGUAUAUGAUUACCAACUGACCAGAAAAGGAAAAAAAACAGCUGGUGUGGUCUGCUCCUGUGCUUUCAACUGCAGCUUUCUCUGGAAAAAAUCAGCAAAUGAAGCUUUUUACAGUCUAAAAACAAACAUAAUGUAUUAAUGUUGGAGCUCAAGCCAUUGUUAAAAUCACAGCUACAGAUAUGGACUGAAAAGUUGGCAACCCAAACUUGAAAGGGGGCUAAUCCACCGCAGAACACUGAUGCUUCACCUCUGGUUUUUCAUUAGUGCAAAUUGCUACCUGACAGCUGUGUACACCCCAACAGAUUGAUUUUAAAAAAUAAAAUAAAAAAUAGAGGAGUAUGAACAAUAUAUAUAUGGAGCAGGACAUUUGGAUUUGAAAAAUAAAUGCAUGCAGGGCCAAACUAUUUUUGUAGAACACUAAAAUGGUACUUUCCCCCCCUCAUCCACUAAUUAUUACGAGGCAGAAUUGACUGGGAAGAGUGUCUGUGCAAACCCCAUUGAAAUUAAUAGCUUAGAAAUUCAGGGAACUUCGCAGAGUAUUGGACCCAAGAUUCAGAUCUGCCUGCCUUUCCCUCUGCUACUUUUGGUGGCACUCAGAAGAUGCUACUUCCUGUUCACACACACACACACACGGAGAUAACUUUGCCCAAAUCUAUCUAGCUCAGUACCGUCUACACUGAUUGCCCUCCAAGGUUACAGGCAGGAGUCUCAAAGCUCUACCUGGAGAUGCCAGGGAAUGCACCUGGGACCUUCGGCAUGCAGAUGCUUCCCCACUGAGCCAUGGCCCCAAGAUAUUCCCAGGGGGAUACCUUACAGAGCAAGCAUGCAGUCACCCAUCCAAAUGUAAACCAGGGCAGACCCUGCUGAGCAAAGGGGACAAUUCAAGCUCACCCCCACAAGACCAGAUCUGCUCCCACCACCAACCAGAGUCCCCUGGACUUGCUACUGGUCAGCGCGAGCUGCUUGUCCCUCACCACCUCCCUUGCUCAUCUUCCUUGACUUCUUCUUUGGCUCAGCAAGAAGGACCAGCUCUCUGUGCUGUCACUUGCGCCCUUGCUUGCCAUCUCUCUCGUUCUGGGCCCAGCAGGGUGGCAGUGCGGCAGCAGAAGCUGUUACUGCCUCUCUUGCUGCUGCCCCUCACUGCCCCCAACACCAACUGAUGGUGGCGGCAAAAAGGACGAGGAGGCAAGCAGAGGGGGUGGGAGAGAAAUUGGGCAGUGAUGGUCACGAGGAGCCACAGCAGCAGCCAUCACUGGCCCUGGGGAUGGGCAGCGAAAGGAAGCAAGCUCCAGCCUGCCACCCCAGCAUGGGAGUGUGUAUGAGGCAGGCCCAUAAGGAGCUGGAAUCAGUCAUGGAUAUUAGAAGCUCCUUCUGCAGACCUGACCAGCAGCCCAGGGAGGAAUCCCUUCACAUGAGCAAACAGGGGUGGGUCCUCACCUGUGGACUUUGCACCAGAGGUUGUGCAUGCCUUUAAAUGGCAUAGGAGUAUAUCCCGCCCCCCACCCGCUCCUCCCAAGGAGUUAGAACAUAAGAAGAACCCUCCUGGAUGUGGCUCCAGGCCUAUUUAGUCCAGUUCUCCUCGGUUUAGAGGAGAGAGUUGUUUAAGUUGCCUCUCUUAGUGGUGGACAAGGGCAUCCUGGGGAGGGAAGGGGAGGCAUUUCCAAGCUUUGCCCUGCAACCGAGAAGACUAGAAACUUAAGCGGAGGGUCUCAGAGCAUAGUAAGACAAACCAUGAUCAAGUGGCAAAGCAUACGGAGGCUGAACUUCAGCAGGGACCCAUACCACUCACAUAUAAGAAGUUUUUCUACUAGUUGGUAGAAUUGCAUGAUUAAAGAAAUCUCAGUCAUUGACUCAAACGAGCUUUAACAGGUUAAAUUGAUGAAAUAAUCCAUUGAAUUUGCAUGUGAGUAAAAUAAAUAUCCCAAAGCAAAAAAUAAAAUAAAAUUAUGUGGUAGCAGGCCUCAUGUUGGAAGAGGCAUUCUCCCUAUGCGUGAGAGAGCCUCUUCUGGGAUGGCCCUUGUCAGCUGCAAUUCUUAUAAGCACAUAUAUUUAAAACAGUAUAUGUUUUGUCAGUUUGCUGCUAAGUUAAUCACGGCACUUUUGCAAUCCAAGCAAAAGCAUUUUAAAACUUUUUCUAAUGCAUUACAGGUUCCUGCCCUGGUUUGAACACCAUUUGGAGUAUGAUACCCCAGCAAAGGUGUAAUGUCGCAGUCUGUUUGAUGUGGAGAAAGUGGGUAGAAUUUUUCUCUUCCUAUGUCGUCUCACUAGAAUUCAGGGGGUCCCGAAUGAAACUGACCAGCAGUCGAUUCGGGAGAGUCAAAAGGAAGGACUGACUCUGUCACACAGAGGAGGGAAGUGAAAAGGAAGGGGGCUUCUUCACGCAACACCUCAUUAAUAUAUGGAAGGGGUGCCCAGGCUUGGACCUCCUAAUGUUGUUGGACUACAACUCCCAUAAUCCCCAGCCACAAUGGCCAGCCAUUGACCCUGGGAAUGAUGGGAGUUGUAGUCCAACAUCGGGGCGGUGGGGAGCCUGGGAACCCCUGUAUGAUGCAAAGCUGGAGAUGGAUUUUUACAGGGAUUCUCAAUGUUGGGUCCCCAGAGGUUAUUGGACUUUGGUCCCCAGUGGCCUUUGGUUGGGGGUUAUGGGAGUUGAAGUCCAAACAGCAUCUGGGGACCCAACGUUGAGAAUCCCUGGAUUAGAACACAAGUGGCCAACCCCUGAGGCUCUCUGGCUGUUCCGGGACUACAUCUCCCAUCAUCCUCAGCUGCAAUUUAUGGUGGCUGCAGAUUGUGGGAGGAGUUGUUCAGCAACAACCACAACCCUCCCUGCUUCUAACCUGCUGGCCUCAGCGCCUUCUCGAGGCUGGAUGUCGCUUAGGAGCCUGGCUUGCUGUUCACUUCUAGCUGGGCCGCAUUCUGCACUGAGGGAGAGCUGAAGCCCAUUCCCAUGCAAGCCAAGAUGUAGGCAAGGAGCUCUUUAACCCCUUCCGAGCUCUGCCUUGGGGGCACCUCCGGUGGUGGCUGCCCAGUGCCUGCGUCUUGGCUUCUGCAUGGGAGGUAGCAACUGUUAGGGAAGGACUCUUGCAGGAUAUUUGAUGCGCUUCGGAGCUUGGGGAGGAGGGCUUGCAUGCCCCUUGUCUGCUCAGGUGCCACGGUGCACUACCGUGAAUGCGUUGGGGGUGAGAUCAUUGGGAUCAGGGGCUAUUCUAAUAAGCCUGCGGGGGACCAACGUGGUAGCCUAUCCCUAGCUUCGAUUGCUCCUCUCUAGGCCAGGGAUUCUCAUAUUCUCAAAAUAAGCCCGAAGAAGAAGAAGAAGGAAAGCUUCCUAAGUGUCCAUAAACCAACAUGCCACAUGCUGCUAGCCCUGGGAGGACGAGCAGAUCAGUGGAAAGAUGAGAAAGAGCAGGAGAGAAUACAGCAGGCUUGAAGGGGUGGAGGUGGGGGCUGUCGUGGGACAACCCUGCCUCCCGACACAAGCAUUCAAGGUAAGAAAGACACAGGGAUGAUGGAAACGGAUUGUGCAUUGAUCCCUGCUGCUAUCUCUGCAAAGCUGGUUUUUUUGUUUUGUGAGGAAGAGGGAGAAGGAGAAAGGAAGCAACGUGGCUUUUUGAGUCACAACACUGCGGAAAGCUUCAUCGGCUCUGUGCUCUGGCUGUAGGACUUUGUCAUCUCUUGUGUGCCUGAAAAAGCUGAAGAACGUGCCGGGUGAGAAUUCCAAUCUUCUGGCCUGACGGGUUGGACAUUGCUGGUAGUCAAAAGGUGUCCUGGGGCUCAGGUCUUCCAGGACAAAGAUUUAGAACUUCAGCCCAGUAGAUGGGAGGGUAGCUGAGCUUUCGGACACGGAGUCCAGGCCAAGAAUGUGAAGGAGUUACAUGUCCGAGGCCUGAGCAUAAGAAGCGAAGGCUGUACAUGAGUUCCUGUCUUCUACAUGGAUCUGCCUCCUUGACCUGUCACCGGAUGAGGGCUUCCAAAACCGGCACAAAACAACAAAGCAGUGCCAAAGUCUUUGCAUGUUGGUCAGGGAAAGAAAGCUCUUCAGGCUCCUGAAGAGGGCAGCCACCUGGCAGCAAAGACUUCUCUUUUGCAAACAGUCAAGGAAAUCAAGAGGGGACAGGAGAAGCGGUGGGACGCAAGCCAAGGGUGGACAGAGAAAGUUGUCCCAAGAAGCUAUGCGAGGAAAGGAGGGGCUUCUUAAAAAGGGACGUGGCCUAUGUUGCCUUUCACAAGACCUGGAAUUUCCAAGAGCUCUGGUCUUUGUAAUCCAAGCAGUCGGUCGCAUUGAAGUUGAGCUUCCAAGAGGCCGCCUGGUCCUUGUAGUCUAGGCAAUCCACCGAGCCAAAGCCCAGCCCGGCUGUGGCAUAACCCUGGCUGGAGAGAGAUGCUGGGGACUGGCUCAGGUGACUGCCCAUGGUUGGGGUCGCGAUGGGGCUCAGGGCAGCUCCAGGUGCAGACAGCUGCGGGU